UACAGAGGGGGCAAGCGUUAUUCGGAAUUAUUGGGCGUAAAGGGCGCGUAGGCGGCUUGGCAAGUGGAUGGUGAAAUCCCUCGGCUUAACCGAGGAACUGCCGUCCAAACUGCUUCGCUUGAGACCGGGAGAGGUGAGUGGAAUUCCCAGUGUAGCGGUGAAAUGCGUAGAUAUUGGGAGGAACACCAGUGGCGAAGGCGGCUCACUGGACCGGUACUGACGCUGAUGCGCGAAAGCGCGGGGAGCAAACAGG
rnacentral:rRNA from 1 species